CUUAAUUAGAGGUUCAAGGCCAGGUUGGACGGGGCUUUGAGCAACCUGGUCUAGUGGAAGUUGUCCCUGCCCAUUGCAGGGGAUUGGAACUGGAGGAUCUUUAAGGUCCCUUCCAACCCAAACCAUUCUAUGACUCUA